rnacentral:rRNA from 1 species
UCCCUUAGAUGUUCUGGGCUGCACGCGUGCUACAAUGGCGCUUGCAACAAGUCUUGCCAACCCGAUAGGGUGAGCGGAUCUUUGAAGAGGCGUCGUGAUCGGGACAGUUGAUUGCAAUUAUUCGACUCGAACGAGGAAUUCCUUGUAAUCGCGAUUCAUCAUAUCGCGCUGAAUACGUCCCUGCCCUUUGUACACACCGCCCGUCGCUCCUACCGAUUGAGCGAUCCGGUGAAUGUUUUGGACUGGCGUCAGAAGCGGUUCGCUCCUGACACUACGAAAUUUUGUAAACCUUAUCGCUUAGAGGAAGGAAAAGUCGUAACA